rnacentral:rRNA from 1 species
CCCUAUGGGGUGCAGCAGGCGAGAAAACUUUGCAAUGUGCGAAAGCACGACAAGGUUAAUCCGAGUGUUUUCUGCUAAAGAAAUCUUUUGUCAGUCCUAAAAACACUGAUGAAUGAGGGGUGGGCAAGUUCUGGUGUCAGCCGCCGCGGUAAAACCAGCACCUCAAGUGGUCAGGAGGAUUAUUGGGCCUAAAGCAUCCGUAGCCUGCUUUGUAAGUUUUCGGUUAAAUCCAUGUGCUCAACAUAUGGGCUGCCGGGAAUACUGCACAGCUAGGGAGUGGGAGAGGUAGACGGUACUCGGUAGGAAGGGGUAAAAUCCUUUGAUCUAUUGAUGACCACCUGUGGCGAAGGCGGUCUACCAGAACACGUCCGACGGUGAGGGAUGAAAGCUGGGGGAGCAAACCGGAUUAGAUACCCGGGUAGUCCCAGCUGUAAACUAUGCAAACUCAGUGAUGCGUUGGCUUGUAGCCAGUGCAGUGCCGCAGGGAAGCCGUUAAGUUUGCCGCCUGGGAAGUACGUACGCAAGUAUGAAACUUAAAGGAAUUGGCGGGGGAGCACCACAAGGGGUGAAGCCUGCGGUUCAAUUGGAGUCAACGCCAGAAAUCUUACCCGGAGAGACAGCAGAAUGAAGGUCAAGCUGAAGACUUUACCAGACAAGCUGAGAAGUGGUGCAUGGCC